rnacentral:rRNA from 1 species
ACCCUAGUGGCGGACGGGUGAGUAACGCGUGGGUAACCUGCCCCAUACCGGGGGAUAACACUUAGAAAUAGGUGCUAAUACCGCAUAAGCGCACGGUACUGCAUGGUACAGUGUGAAAAACUCCGGUGGUAUGGGAUGGACCCGCGUCUGAUUAGCUUGUUGGCGGGGUAACGGCCCACCAAGGCGACGAUCAGUAGCCGGCCUGAGAGGGUGGACGGCCACAUUGGGACUGAGACACGGCCCAAACUCCUACGGGAGGCAGCAG